UCCUUGGUGGUCCAGUGUCUAGGACUCUGUGCUCCCAGUGCAGAGGACCCAGGUUCAUUUCCUGGUCAGGGAA
rnacentral:tRNA from 1 species